AGCGAACGUUAGCGGCGGGCCUAACACAUGCAAGUCGAACGAGAAAGGGGCUUCGGCCCUGAGUAAAGUGGCGGACGGGUGAGUAACACGUGGACAAUCUGCCUUCGAGCGGGGGAUAACUGUCCGAAAGGAUAGCUAAUACCGCAUACGUCUCCUUGGUCUGCGGACCGGGGAGGGAAAGCUGCCCACUUCAUGAACGGUAGCACUCGAAGAGGAGUCCGCGGCGCAUCAGCUAGUUGGUGAGGUAACGGCUCACCAAGGCUAAGACGCGUAGCUGGUCUGAGAGGAUGAUCAGCCACACUGGGACUGAGACACGGCCCAGACUCCUACGGGAGGCAGCAGUGGGGGAAUAUUGGGCAAUGGGCGCAAGCCUGACCCAGCCACGCCGCGUGAGUGAUGAAGGCCUCGGUCGGUAA
rnacentral:rRNA from 1 species